AGAGUUUGAUCAUGGCUCAGAUUGAACGCUGGCGGCAGGCCUAACACAUGCAAGUCGAACGGUAGCACAGAGAGCUUGCUCUCGGGUGACGAGUGGCGGACGGGUGAGUAAUGUCUGGGAAACUGCCUGAUGGAGGGGGAUAACUACUGGAAACGGUGGCUAAUACCGCAUAACGUCGCAAGACCAAAGAGGGGGACCUUCGGGCCUCUUGCCAUCAGAUGUGCCCAGAUGGGAUUAGCUAGUUGGUGAGGUAACGGCUCACCAAGGCGACGAUCCCUAGCUGGUCUGAGAGGAUGACCAGCCACACUGGAACUGAGACACGGUCCAGACUCCUACGGGAGGCAGCAGUGGGGAAUAUUGCACAAUGGGCGCAAGCCUGAUGCAGCCAUGCCGCGUGUAUGAAGAAGGCCUUCGGGUUGUAAAGUACUUUCAGCGGGGAGGAAGGUGUUGCGGUUAAUAACCGCAGCAAUUGACGUUACCCGCAGAAGAAGCACCGGCUAACUCCGUGCCAGCAGCCGCGGUAAUACGGAGGGUGCAAGCGUUAAUCGGAAUUACUGGGCGUAAAGCGCACGCAGGCGGUCUGUCAAGUCGGAUGUGAAAUCCCCGGGCUCAACCUGGGAACUGCAUUCGAAACUGGCAGGCUUGAGUCUUGUAGAGGGGGGUAGAAUUCCAGGUGUAGCGGUGAAAUGCGUAGAGAUCUGGAGGAAUACCGGUGGCGAAGGCGGCCCCCUGGACAAAGACUGACGCUCAGGUGCGAAAGCGUGGGGAGCAAACAGGAUUAGAUACCCUGGUAGUCCACGCCGUAAACGAUGUCUACUUGGAGGUUGUGCCCUUGAGGCGUGGCUUCCGGAGCUAACGCGUUAAGUAGACCGCCUGGGGAGUACGGCCGCAAGGUUAAAACUCAAAUGAAUUGACGGGGGCCCGCACAAGCGGUGGAGCAUGUGGUUUAAUUCGAUGCAACGCGAAGAACCUUACCUGGUCUUGACAUCCACAGAACUUUCCAGAGAUGGAUUGGUGCCUUCGGGAACUGUGAGACAGGUGCUGCAUGGCUGUCGUCAGCUCGUGUUGUGAAAUGUUGGGUUAAGUCCCGCAACGAGCGCAACCCUUAUCCUUUGUUGCCAGCGGUCCGGCCGGGAACUCAAAGGAGACUGCCAGUGAUAAAC
rnacentral:rRNA from 1 species